AUUGAACGCUGGCGGCAUGCCUUACACAUGCAAGUCGAACGGUAGAGUAGCAAUACUCGAGAGUGGCGAACGGGUGAGUAAUAUAUCGGAACGUGCCCAGUCGUGGGGGAUAACGUAGAGAAAUUUACGCUAAUACCGCAUACGAUCUAAGGAUGAAAGCGGGGGAUUCGCAAGAACCUCGCGCGAUUGGAGCGGCUGAUAUCAGAUUAGGUUGUUGGUGAGGUAAAAGCUCACCAAGCCGACGAUCUGUAGCUGGUUUGAGAGAACGACCAGCCACACUGGGACUGAGACACGGCCCAGACUCCUACGGGAGGCAGCAGUGGGGGAAUUUUGGGACAAUGGGCGAAAGCCUGAUCCAGCAAUGCCGCGUGCAGGAAGAAGG
rnacentral:rRNA from 1 species